AUUGAACGCUGGCGGCAGGCCUAACACAUGCAAGUCGAACGGCGUGGCGGACGGGUGAGAAAUGUCUGGGAAACUGCCUGAUGGAGGGGGAUACCUACUGGAAACGGUAGCUCAUAACGCAUACUAGCAGAUGAGCCUAGGUUGGAUUAGCUAGUUGGUGGGGUAAAGGCCUACCAAGGCGACGAUCCGUAACUGGUCUGAGAGGAUGAUCAGGCACACUGGAACUGAGACACGGGCCAGACUCCUACGGGAGGCAGAAGUGGGGAAUAUUGGACAAUGUGCGAAAGCCUGAUCCAGCCAUGCCGCGUGUGUGAAGAAGGUCUUCGGAUUGUAAAGCACUUUAAGUUGGGAGGCGUUACCAACAGAAUAAGCACCGGCUAACUUCGUGCCAGCAGCCGCGGUAAUUC
rnacentral:rRNA from 1 species